GACGAACGCUGGCGGCGUGCUUAACACAUGCAAGUCGAACGGAAAGGCCCUGCUUUUGUGGGGUACUCGAGUGGCUAACGGGUGAGUAACACGUGAGUAACCUGCCCUUGACUUUGGGAUAACUUCAGGAAACUGGGGCUAAUACCGGAUAGGAGCUCCUGCUGCAUGGUGGGGUUGGAAAGUUUCGGCGGUUGGGGAUGGACUCGCGGCUUAUCAGCUUGUUGGUGGGGUAGUGGCUUACCAAGGCUUUGACGGGUAGCCGGCCUGAGAGGGUGACCGGCCACAUUGGGACUGAGAUACGGCCCAGACUCCUACGGGAGGCAGCAGUGGGGAAUAUUGCACAAUGGGCGGAAGCCUGAUGCAGCAACGCCGCGUGCGGGAUGACGGCCUUCGGGUUGUAAACCGCUUUCGCCUGUGACGAGGCGUGAGUGACGGUAAUGGGUAAAGAAGCACCGGCUAACUACGUG
rnacentral:rRNA from 1 species